rnacentral:tRNA from 1 species
GUCGAAAUAGUUAAGCUGGGAGAGCGUUAGGCUUUAAAUCUAAAGAUCCUUGGUUCAAUUUUGGGUUUCAGUA